rnacentral:rRNA from 1 species
UUGAAGAGUUUGAUCAUGGCUCAGAUUGAACGCUGGCGGCAGGCCUAACACAUGCAAGUCGAACGGUAACAGGAAGAAGCUUGCUUCUUUGCUGACGAGUGGCGGACGGGUGAGUAAUGUCUGGGAAACUGCCUGAUGGAGGGGGAUAACUACUGGAAACGGUAGCUAAUACCGCAUAACGUCGCAAGACCAAAGAGGGGGACCUUCGGGCCUCUUGCCAUCGGAUGUGCCCAGAUGGGAUUAGCUAGUAGGUGGGGUAACGGCUCACCUAGGCGACGAUCCCUAGCUGGUCUGAGAGGAUGACCAGCCACACUGGAACUGAGACACGGUCCAGACUCCUACGGGAGGCAGCAGUGGGGAAUAUUGCACAAUGGGCGCAAGCCUGAUGCAGCCAUGCCGCGUGUAUGAAGAAGGCCUUCGGGUUGUAAAGUACUUUCAGCGGGGAGGAAGGGAGUAAAGUUAAUACCUUUGCUCAUUGACGUUACCCGCAGAAGAAGCACCGGCUAACUCCGUGCCAGCAGCCGCGGUAAUACGGAGGGUGCAAGCGUUAAUCGGAAUUACUGGGCGUAAAGCGCACGCAGGCGGUUUGUUAAGUCAGAUGUGAAAUCCCCCGGGCUCAACCUGGGAACUGCAUCUGAUACUGGCAAGCUUGAGUCUCGUAGAGGGGGGUAGAAUUCCAGGUGUAGCGGUGAAAUGCGUAGAGAUCUGGAGGAAUACCGGUGGCGAAGGCGGCCCCCUGGACGAAGACUGACGCUCAGGUGCGAAAGCGUGGGGAGCAAACAGGAUUAGAUACCCUGGUAGUCCACGCCGUAAACGAUGUCGACUUGGAGGUUGUGCCCUUGAGGCGUGGCUUCCGGAGUUAACGCGUUAAGUCGACCGCCUGGGGAGUACGGCCGCAAGGUUAAAACUCAAAUGAAUUGACGGGGGCCCGCACAAGCGGUGGAGCAUGUGGUUUAAUUCGAUGCAACGCGAAGAACCUUACCUGGUCUUGACAUCCACGGAAGUUUUCAGAGAUGAGAAUGUGCCUUCGGGAACCGUGAGACAGGUGCUGCAUGGCUGUCGUCAGCUCGUGUUGUGAAAUGUUGGGUUAAGUCCCGCAACGAGCGCAACCCUUAUCCUUUGUUGCCAGCGGUCCGGCCGGGAACUCAAAGGAGACUGCCAGUGAUAAACUGGAGGAAGGUGGGGAUGACGUCAAGUCAUCAUGGCCCUUACGACCAGGGCUACACACGUGCUACAAUGGCGCAUACAAAGAGAAGCGACCUCGCGAGAGCAAGCGGACCUCAUAAAGUGCGUCGUAGUCCGGAUUGGAGUCUGCAACUCGACUCCAUGAAGUCGGAAUCGCUAGUAAUCGUGGAUCAGAAUGCCACGGUGAAUACGUUCCCGGGCCUUGUACACACCGCCCGUCACACCAUGGGAGUGGGUUGCAAAAGAAGUAGGUAGCUUAACCUUCGGGAGGGCGCUUACCACUUUGUGAUUCAUGACUGGGGUGAAGUCGUAACAAGGUAACCGUAGGGGAACCUGCGGUUGGAUCACCUCCUU